rnacentral:rRNA from 1 species
GACGAACGCUGGCGGCGUGCUUAACACAUGCAAGUCGAACGGAAAGGCCCUGCUUUUGUGGGGUGCUCGAGUGGCGAACGGGUGAGUAACACGUGAGUAACCUGCCCUUGACUUUGGGAUAACUUCAGGAAACUGGGGCUAAUACCGGAUAGGAGCUCCUGCUGCAUGGUGGGGGUUGGAAAGUUUCGGCGGUUGGGGAUGGACUCGCGGCUUAUCAGCUUGUUGGUGGGGUAGUGGCUUACCAAGGCUUUGACGGGUAGCCGGCCUGAGAGGGUGACCGGCCACAUUGGGACUGGGGUACGGCCCAGACUCCUACGGGAGGCAGCGGUGGGGAAUAUUGCACAAUGGGCGGAGGCCUGAUGCAGCAACGCCGCGUGCGAGAUGACGGCCUUCGGGUUGUAAACCGCUUUCGCCUGUGACGAAGCGUGAGUGACGGUAAUGGGUAAAGAAGCACCGGCUAACUACGU